GCGGAAGUAUAUAGCUUAUCAGAAACAAGUUUAUCAUUGAGAUGGAGUCCACCUUAUCCACCAACUGGAAUACUGGAUUCAUUUGCAAUAAAAUAUUAUUACAUUUUAGGAAGACAUAGCACGGUACACACCAAUUAUGAUUCUUUGAAUCCAUGUAAAGUAUGGCCAAAUAUGUAUUGCACUACAUUAACUAAUCUUACGACAGACAAGAACUACAUUAUAUCAAUUACUGCGCGUAAUGAGAAUAUAUCUCACUGUGGAUUGGAGACUGUUUUAAAUGAAACCACAUCGAUUAAAGUUCCUCAACCUCCACUGAAUUUGGUUGCAAAAUGGGACAAAUUUCGAUUUCUAGAGUUGGAAUGGCAACAUCCUAAUAAAACAAAUGGUGCUCUUCUAGGUUUCGAAAUCAUAGUUAAUGGUGAAAAAUACUUUUAUCAAAAACCGGAAAAUACCACAUACACUUAUAACACGCAAUUUCAAUGUAAACCAAAAAACUAUCUGGCAUUUGUCUCUAUACAAACAGUUAAUUUAAGAUUCAGUUCUGCUUUGUUGACUGGCCAUUUUGUUUGUCCAAUUUUGAGUAAACUUAAAUUUAAGCCUGCUGAUGACAGCAAAUGGAAAUAAAGCAAAUUUUCACCGAAUAUACGGUUUUGGCUAGUUUCAACAUCAAUAAUAAUAAUUAUUAUUUUUAUAAUUGGUUUAUGGGUAUGGAAAAACAAACGAAACCGCGGAAACAGAAACACACGCAAUAUUCUUGAUUCUUUAUUACCAUGCUUUUCAAACGAUUUAGCUCCAGUAGUGAUACACCCACUACUUCCCAUGGAGUCCAUUGCUAAUGAUGAUGAGAGGUGCUCACGAUUGGUAGCUGUAGAUGAAUAUCACGAAUAUGUGAAAAGCGUUGCAAAUGGGUACGAGUUGACAACGGAGUAUAACAAGAUCGUUGCAUUAAACCAGAAAACUGUAAAAUUACAUCAUAACAAAACCAAAUCAGACUAUUUAGAUGCAACAUACAUAGCUGUAAGUUUUUAUUCAUUUACUGGAAUAGCUUGUGCUUAUAGUUUUAUCAAUUUUUAAUUUAAAGAG